AUGAAAAACAUAUAUAAGUUCCUUAAUACGCAAGAUAUCCCAUGGGUGAAGUUAGUUUGGGAAUCUUACUAUCAAUCUGGUCUUCCACCAGAUCAAACUGCUGAUUGCUCCUUUUGGUGGAGAGAUUGUAUUAAGCUUCUGCCCAAAUUCAAGGAACUUGCUAUUUGCGAUGCUCAUGAUGGAAAUACAGUACGUACUCUUUUGGAAAAACAAAUGGCAAAGGAAUACACCGCAAGCAACCUCGCCUUAUUUAUUCUCCUUCGCGCUCAAGGAAAACUCCUCAGUCCAGCAAAUUAUGCAGCAAGAUUUCACCCCUGA
rnacentral:rRNA from 1 species